CCCAACCUUUUUUGACUCGUGACCCCAUUUUAACAUCACAAAUUUCUGUAAUGCAUGUGGUCACGUGAUCGGGCCAAUCAAGAUAUGCCCAGUCAGAUAUUAUAUCCUGCAUUUUAUUUGAACUUGAUUUUUAUUAGGAAAGUGCGUAGUGUUUUAAUUAUAAUGAAAUAUAUAUUGAAUCAUA